rnacentral:tRNA from 1 species
CAUCUCGUGGCGUAGUUGGUAAUGCGCCUGUCUAGUGAAUUGGGUGUUGUGAGUUUAAUUCUCACGGAGAAGA